GGCGCACGGGUGAGUAGCGCGUGGGUAAUCUGCCCCUCGGUCAGGAAUAACCCGCCGAAAGGCGGGCUAAUACCCGAUAACACUGACGCUCUGCGGAGUGUCUUUCAAAGAAGGCCUCUGUUUACAAGCUUUCGCCGGAGGAUGAGCCCGCGUACCAUUAGCUAGUUGGCAGGGUAAUGGCCUACCAAGGCAACGAUGGUUAGCUGGUCUGAGAGGAUGGCCAGCCACACUGGAACUGAGACACGGUCCAGACUCCUACGGGAGGCAGCAGUGAGGAAUCUUGCGCAAUGGGGGAAACCCUGACGCAGCAACGCCGCGUGAGUGAGGAAGGCUUUCGGGUCGUAAAGCUCUGUCAGAUGGGAAGAAAUGGAUGGAAGCCAAUACCUUUCAUUCUUGACGGUACCAUCAGAGGAAGCACCGGCUAACUCCGUGCCAGCAGCCGCGGUAAUACGGGGGGUGCAAGCGUUGUUCGGAAUCAUUGGGCGUAAAGCGCGCGCA
rnacentral:rRNA from 1 species